ACCCGCUGAACUUAAGCAUAUCAAUAAGCGGAGGAAAAGAAACCAACAGGGAUUGCCUUAGUAGCGGCGAGUGAAGCGGCAAGAGCUCAAAUUUGAAAUCUGGUACCUUUGGUGCCCGAGUUGUAAUUUGAAGAUCACAAUCUUGAAAUUGGUCCUUGUCUAUGUUCCUUGGAACAGGACGUCACAGAGGGUGAGAAUCCCGUGCGAUGAGGAUACCUUUUUCAUUUAAGAUGUGUUCGACGAGUCGAGUUGUUUGGGAAUGCAGCUCAAAGUGGGUGGUAAAUUCCAUCUAAAGCUAAAUAUUGGCGAGAGACCGAUAGCGAACAAGUACAGUGAUGGAAAGAUGAAAAGAACUUUGAAAAGAGAGUGAAAAAGUACGUGAAAUUGUUGAAAGGGAAGGGUAUUUAAUCAGACUUGGUAUUUAGCUAUCUCUUCUCCUUGUGGGAGGGGCUCUAGCUUUUUACUGGGCCAGCAUCAGUUUUGGUGGUAAGAUAAUCGCAGUCGAAUGUGGCUCCUCGGAGUGUUAUAGCUUCUGUUGAUGUUACCUACUGGGACUGAGGUCUGCGGCUUUCCCCUAGGAUGCUGGCGUAAUGAUUAAACACCGCCCGU
rnacentral:rRNA from 1 species